UGGGGAAUAUUGCGCAAUGGGGGAAACCCUGACGCAGCGACGCCGUGUGAGGGAAGAAGGCUUUCGGGUCGUAAACCUCUGUCAGGAAGGAAGAACCUCUCAAGGCUGAACAAGCCUUGGGACUGACGGUACUUCCAGAGGAAGCACCGGCUAACUCCGUGCCAGCAGCCGCGGUAAUACGGAGGGUGCAAGCGUUAAUCGGAAUCACUGGGCGUAAAGCGCGCGUAGGCCGUCUUUUAAGUCGGACGUGAAAGCCCUCGGCUCAACCGGGGAACUGCGUUCGAUACUGGGAGACUUGAGUCCUGGAGAGGGUGGCGGAAUUCCGGGUGUAGGAGUGAAAUCCGUAGAUAUCCGGAGGAACACCGGUGGCGAAGGCGGCCACCUGGGCAGGUACUGACGCUGAGGCGCGAAAGCGUGGGGAGCAAACA
rnacentral:rRNA from 1 species